rnacentral:misc_RNA from 1 species
UUGUGCUUGCUUCUUUGGAAGGAUAUAGUAAGUCAUACAUUUCCAACUCUUUUAUAUAUUCCAUUUUGAGAAUUCAGUAUUUCUCUGUAUAUAUAUUUUGCAACUUAUUAUCAUUCUAUUAUAAUUAUCAACUCUUUGCUUCCUCUUUUCACUGGUAUUGUAAUGUUGUGGUGAACCUAAUUCAGGUAUCCCAGAGAGGAUUCCUUCAUCUCAUGCCUGUAGUUUGUGGAUUGUUCACUUUGUACCCCUUUGUUUGUUAUAUUCUAAUUAGUGUACAUGUGCUUUGUUAAAUCUAGCUGCAGACUAGGCAAGAUUGAACUAAGAGUUGGAACAUUGAGGCUUUGUUUCGAAGAGGGAGGAAAAUGUGCAUGUGUGUGGCGGUGUGGGAGAGGGGGGGUGUAAUUUUGAAAGGAAAAUGGACCUGUGGAGCCCACAUGGCAAGAAACAAAAUUGUGGACCUCAUGGCCCAUUUUCCUCCCAAAACCCUCUCCCUUCCAUUUUCCUUCCUCUCCCAAACAUAUAGUAAAUGUUGUAAUUUCUCAUACCAAUAAAUGUGUCUGCAUGCUCAUAAAAAUAUGAAGCACUGCAUAGGCAUUGGUGAUUCAAUAGAUUUUAAAUUGUCAUAGUGACAGGGAAGCUAAAAAUAUAUAAUAAGCAUUGAAAUGAAUACACAAGAACACAUUCUUCUGAGAAUCUGUAGAAGAAAUUAUACUUUGUAGUGUAAAUGAGUGUGUAAUGAACUUUUUGCUUGGUCUCUGUCACGGCAUGAAUCAUUUGACUUGACUGACAUGAAUUCUUGUGUGUUCUUGCUUUGUCUAUUAUCUUGAUCAUUUUUCUUCUUGUUUAUAGCAGCUAGCAUACAUUCAAUCAAUUUCUGAAUUGUCUAGUGUAAACCACUUUGUAAAAUUUUAACAUUUGCAUAGCAUUUUCCUUCCGCUUUCAUAUGUUUCUUUCUGAGAUUUUAUAGAUAGCCAAGCUGUUCAUAAUAGGUUUUAACCAUGAGUGGCAAAAGCCGGUGUUCUGAAAUUUAUAAUUGUUUAUGUGUGUGUUGCUUUUUUAAUUGAUCGUCAUGCACCAACAUGUGAGCCGUAUUUCACAUUGGAGAUUUGUUCACUUCUAUAACUAAGUGGAAUUCUGUAACAUUAGGAGCCAUAAUGUCUUUCUUCUUCUAGUUUUUAUAUCUUUUACUCUUUCUCAAAGAGUACAUGCGCCAUUUUAAUUUUAUAGGAAGUUGAAAUUUAGAAUAUCAUUUAUCAGUUACAAAAAGAAUUUAAAUUAUGGAAUCAUUUUAAAAUGUUGAAAAAUUCAAAACUAAAACGGUGAAACUUUAUCAUUGGAUUGGAAAUUCCUUGAUACAAAAGAUGGGCAGGGAAUGUAGAAGUUCCUUUUGGGGUAUCUCUUCUUACAUUCCUUUUCCUCCCAAGGACUGUAGCUUUUUCUUACAAUAUUGUUUCCUUUUAUGUGCCUUGUGCUUGUGCAGACAAGGUCUGCGAUGCUAUUGAGGUUGCUGGAAAGAAUGUCA